rnacentral:rRNA from 1 species
UACAGAGGGUGCAAGCGUUAUUCGGAAUUAUUGGGCGUAAAGCGCAUGUAGGUUGUUUGAUAAGUCUGAUGUGAAAUCCCCGGACUCAAUUCGGGAAGUGCAUUGGAUACUGUCAGACUAGAGUAUGGGAGAGGUAAGCGGAAUUCCAGGUGUAGAGGUGAAAUUCGUAGAUAUCUGGAGGAACAACAGAGGCGAAGGCGGCUUACUGGACCAUUACUGACACUGAGAUGCGAAAGCGUGGGGAGCAAACAGG